UACAGAGGGAGCUAGCGUUGUUCGGAAUCACUGGGCGUAAAGCGCGCGUAGGUGGCUUGCCAAGUCGGGGGUGAAAGCCCAGAGCUCAACUCUGGAACUGCCUUCGAAACUGGCGAGCUUGAGAAUAGUAGGGGAUAGUGGAAUUUCUAGUGGAGUAGUGAAAUACGUAGAUAUUAGAAGGAACACCAGUGGCGAAGGCGGCUAUCUGGGCUAUUUCUGACACUAAGGCGCGAAAGCGUGGGGAGCAAACAGG
rnacentral:rRNA from 1 species